GUGCCAGACUCCUACGGGAGGCAGCAGUGAGGAAUAUUGGUCAAUGGCCGGAAGGCUGAACCAGCCAAGCCGCGUGAAGGACGAAGGUGCCAAGCAUUGUAAACUUCUUUUGUCAAGGGACAAAAUCAGGCUCGAGAGCCCGACCGAGGGUACUUGAAGAAAAAGCAUCGGCUAACUCCGUGCCAGCAGCCGCGGUAAUACGGAGGAUGCGAGCGUUAUCCGGAUUUAUUGGGUUUAAAGGGUGCGCAGGCGGAGGCACAAGUCAGCGGUAAAAUCGCGGGGCUCAACCUCGUCGAGCCGUUGAAACUGGGUGCCUUGAGUGGGCGAGAAGUACGCGGAAUGCGUGGUGUAGCGGUGAAAUGCAUAGAUAUCACGCAGAACUCCGAUUGCGAAGGCAGCGUACCGGCGCCCAACUGACGCUGAAGCACGAAGGCGUGGGUAUCGAACAGGAUUAGAUACCCUGGUACG
rnacentral:rRNA from 1 species